UUAUACUCUGUCCUGCUUUACAUGAGAGUAUAAUUUCAUCAACAUAUUUCCAAAAACAAAAUUACAUGUGGCCUUACAGCUACAGAGAACUGUUUUUUGGAUAUGCCAACGUUUUCCAAAAAAAAAACCUAAUCAGCAUUUAAUCCGAUUAGAAAGUUCUCAUUUCCCUGUGCUGUGUGAAACCGCCCUCUUUGAAAGAUAUCAACCGAUGAACUUCAUAUGCUUUUGAGUUGAGAAAUAACAAAUAACUAUCGAACCUCAAUCAAUGCAACGUACGUUAUAGCAAUCUCCAUCUUACUGUAGUGUGCACACACAAACCCGUUAUUUCUCUGAUUGAUACAAUUGUAUUCAGACACACACAUGGGAUGUUUCUAUGAACGAUAGGAAGCCAGAUGUUUGGACAAUGAGCAGCGAAAGCAGCAAGAAAGUACUUUUUUUUACACUGAGUAAACGGAUUUGUCCCUCAGCACCCUGUCGUACAAGCAGAGAUACAAGCCCAGCAAUUAUUGUGACAAUGCUGUGCACACACACAUCUGUUUAACUUUACCUUUGAGGCCAUGUGCACACAGUAUAAGCAGGAAGCUGAGUAGCAAUGGAUGGCAUGCAAAAGGAAUCCAUUAAAACCCAGAUGUUUUGAUAAAGAGAUAGAAAGUCGUGCUGGGUUCAAUUCUAAAAUAAAUUACAACUACAAUACAUGUAAGCGCAGCCAUUUCAUACUAAUAGAGCAGCGAAAGCUAGCACAUUCAUACCAGUAAAAUACAGCCUAAAAAGAUUAUCUGAUAUUGUAAGACUCACAUCACAAACACGUGUUAACUCCAGUGAGAACUAUAUUACAAUUUUAAAAAGACAACGUUCACAAUGUCAUCACUCACUACAUUGCAGUGUUGGGAGUGCUGCUGUUAAAUCACACUCUCUGGACAAAAACAAAGGAGGAAAGAAAAUUGAGGGAACCAUAUUGCAUUCAAUUCGCAGAAUUAACAAGAUACGUCAAGAAUCGGCAGAAUUUCUCAAUUGGUUUCAUUAAUAAAAGCAUCUCCAUUCCGUUUAUUUUAAUCCAGCACUGAGAAACCAAUGAAGAAUAACGUUACUGCUACAGAGAGCUUCUUAAAUCCCGUCAUGCAGCCUGUAUUUCCUGGAUUCAGAUGCAUUGUCUUCUAUCUGUAAAGCAGGCCAUUUGGGUUCAUCUGAUUCUGCAGAAACAGCACAAUGUCUAGCAGAACCCAGAGUGGGUUCAUGUCUGAACCAUGCACUGUAAAUAAGAUCAGAAAAGUCUCCACAAAGUCAACAAACUAAAACUAAAACUAACUAUACUAUACAGGUAGUAGAGCAUGGUUGCCCUUUAAUCAAAGGUUUGAUCAUAUUGGUGUUCUUAGGCCAGAUACUGUGUGCCAACUAGAAAAUGCAAUUCCUGCUGAAAAUGCGUUGGAAUGCAAAAAGCUGAAAGCUGAAAUGAAUUUUUAAAAAUAGCUGAAAAUACAGAAAGUUGAAGGGAAUUUGAAUACAUUUGCUGAAAUUACAGAUAUUAGAAAAGCUGAAAUUAAUUUGAAAUUGCUGAAAAUACAGAAAUGGGAGAAGCUGAAAGGAAUUUCAAUACAUUUGCUGAAAAAGCAGAAUAUUAAAACAUUGCUGUUAAUACAGGCAUAAGAAAAGCUGAAAUUAUUUUAAAGAACUGCUGAAAAUACAGGAAGUGGGGAAGCUGUAUUUCAAUAGAUUUUCUAAAAAAUACAGUUGCAGGAGCUUAAAUGAAUUUAAAAAGUACAGAAAUAACAAAAACUGAGAUGAAUAAAAAGAGGUUUAAAAUUGUUUGUAGUAAUAUUAGUAGUAGUAUUAGUUAUAAUUGUGGUAUUAGUAGUACUAGCUGUAGAAGUAGGUUUAGUAUCAAUAGCAGUAGAAACAGCUGUAAUACUAAUACUAUUAGCCAUAGUAGUAUUUGUAAUAACAUUAGUAGUAGUUGUAGUAUUAAUAGCAGUAGAAAUACUAGUAGUAUGGUAGUAGAAGUAUCAGUUGUAGUACUACUAGAAGUACUAGUAAUAUUCUUAGUGGUUGUAGUGGUAUUUGAAAGAGCAAUACGUAUUUCAAAGAAACCGCUUCAUUCUGAGCUUCAUGGUUAAGGUACAGAUAAUCAUUGUGGCUUUUAUUUUAAAACAAUGGAAUUGGGUGAGGGGGGCUUGGGAGACAUAAUGUUUGUUAUUCAAACUAAGAAGUUAUUAAUCAAUAGGCCUCAUCACAAACAUUACAGUAAGAAUUCCCUCCAUGGGGCUUUUAUUUUGAAAUUAUUGGAUUGGGUGGGGUGGGGGGUGUAGAUAGAGGGAGGGAGGGUAAGGAAGGGAGGGGUAGUGAGGAAGAGAUAGAGAUAGAGAGGAGGAGAAUUAGACAGACAGACUGACUGACUGAGUGAUUAACAGUGAGAAGAGGUCAGGGGGGAGUGGGGAGGGGGGGGCGAGUGUCUUCAUCAUGUUGGUCUGUUGACAGAAAGCAUAGCUGCGUCGUGUGACUCCACUAAUCAGGUCAUAGGAGCAGCUGUGAGUCACAGACAGAGAUACUGCAGCAUGUGUGCGAGUAUCCACGGCAACAGCGCACCUAUUGGAUUGGGUGGGGUGUAGAUAGAGGGAGGGAGGGUGAGAGGGUGAGGAAGGGAUAGAGAGGGAGAGGGGAGGAGAAUUAGACAGACAGACUGACUGAGUGAAUGAUUAACAGUGAGAAGAGGUCAGGGGGGAGGGGGGGCGAGUGUCUUCAUCAUGUUGGUCUGUUGACAGAAAGCAUAGCUGCGUCAUGUGACUCCACUAAUCAGGUAAUAGGAGCAGCUGUGAGUCACAGACAGAGAUACUGCAGCAUGUGUGAGUUUCCACGACAACGGUGCACCUGGGUUCAUUAACGAGCUGCUGAACAGGGCAGAGACAGGACAGCGAGUUACACAGAAUCCACACCUCAAACAAGUGUCCUUUAGCGCAAAACUAUAACACCUAUCUAAAAAAUAAGACGUUUCUGCGAGACCCAAGACUCUACCGAACGCAUGGAUGUGUUUUUUAUGUCUGUUCGGUAAUAAAUACGGCUCCUGUCGCAGUUUAAAAAAACAUGUACCUUCUGGAUUUUUUGAGAAAUAUGUCGCCAGAUUUGUAUUGGAGCCUAUGGGGCUUUUGGCAGAGGUUGUGUCACUUUAACACUCAUUAAGCCAAAACUAAAGAACUCUGGGAUUCCAUAAUCCAUAUAUAAUCCAAUCAGCACAACCAUGCCAUCAUUAAUCCAAAGAAAUGAAGCAUCAAAAGUGUAUACUUUGGCUCUGAGGACAGAAUUUCCAUAUUUCUUUACCAGAUUCUGACGCUGCCCCACACUCUAGCCCUCGAGGUCUCACUCUAAGAGACGCAAUACACACUCAUGUAAAACUCAGAAACGGAGCAAAGAACUAGUGAAACAUAAUCAGUGAUUAUGAAAAAAGUAGAAUAGAUAUCAACAAGCUGUUUUUUUUCAUAAAAUAGUUGAGACUUGUGUCAACAUUUGAAAGUUGAAAUAGUGUCUGUAGCUGAAAGAUUGGCGAAGCUGAAGAAUCUGAAAGUUGAAGAAGUUUAAGAGGAUUUGAAAACCAUGUUAAAAUAUUAAUGAUUAUUGAUUUAUAUAAAUUCAAGCUUAAGAGCUGGAAAGCUGAAAAGUCUUAGCACCCCUCCUGGGAAAGAGCUGAAUAUUUUAACAUUUGAAUGGUUUUAAUAGCUGAAAGAAGUUGAAAGGUGGCGCGGAGGAAAUAGAAUAAGUUGAAUAAAGAUUCGAAGAACAAUACUUGGAAUGCUUAAUGCAUUCCAACAAUAAUCAUGGUCCAACGGGAUGUGUUAGCAACAGUAGUGACUACAUCACUGCAAACCACCAGAGGCGCCGGCUCAGCCCCCGCCAUAGCCCCACCCCCCCACCUCAAGGGCCGGAUCCCAGACGGCCCUGAAAUCACCAACGGGAGGGUGGGAGAGGACCACGGGAUGGGAGGGAGGGAGCCUGAGUCGGGGAGCAGGGACUGGAAGCGUCGGGGUCAGGAGUCUCGGGGGCCAGGACGGGCAGAGUCGGGAGUCUCGGGGCUGUAACUGGAGGGGUCGGGGGAACGAGUCUCGGGGCCGGAACUGGAGGGGUCGGGGGAACGAGUCUCGGGGCCGGGACUGGAGCGAUCGGGGGAACGAGUCUCGGGGCCGGGACUGGAGGGAUCGGGGGAACGAGUCUCGGGGCCGGAUCGGGAGGUCGCUGCGGACCAGACAGGGUACACAAAAACAUAUAUAUAUAUAUAUAUAUGGAUAUAUAUAUGGAUACACAUACAUAUAUACAUACCCAUAGGCACAAAGAGAAAUGGGGGGAGGGAAAGAAGAGAGAAAAUAAAAAAUAAAGGGGGGGUGAAAAGGGUCUGGAUGGCUCUGUACUUUCUAUAACGAAAUUAAUCCUGAGUCAACUUCAGGACGCCAUCUUCGCCGACACGUCUGACAACAGGCGCACCUUCUCCAGCCUCUUCCAGUUUUCCAACUGUACCCAAGGGAGCCAUUCUUUCCACGUCUUCAGUCCGGAGUGGGACACACAGGAGGACAACAGGGUACGAUAUAUUGUUUCCACAGCAUCACAUGCAACAUAACAUUUUCAAUAUGUAGCCUCUGAAAGCCUGCAAAAUAACAACAACAUAUGGCUACUGUUUACAAAUCAAGGAAUAAAUGUAUAGAAACAGAAUCUGCUGCUUGUUGGUCUUGUUUCUGUCGAGCCAAAUUUUACAUUUUAUUUCCAACCACAAAAAGACAGCAGGCCUAGAAACUGUGCUCAGUACUGUUGACAGCGAUAUACCUCUGCACACAACAAACAGUCCAUCAAUGAGCAAAGAAAGAAAAAUAAUGAUGCUUGAAAACAUGAUUUGAAGAUCAGCCGACAAUUUAGGCAGAAUAUUAACACCUCCUCUUGUCAUGUGUUCAUCUACAGCUGUCAGCCUAUUGGAAAUGAAGUUGUGUGUUUCUUUUAGUUUGCAGUGAUUAGUGUGUUGUGUUAUUUUAUCGUACCUUAUUUUACCUGCAUGCUUGUAGUUGUAAGGACUGUUGUCCCUUAUGUAAACUUCCUUUAGAUGACAAAAUAACUCUAUUGCUUCCACCUGGAAAUACUUGAUAAUCAAUUGGCGAACCAGGUGCAAUGCGGAGUUUGGCUGAUUGGUGGAGUUUAAAAGAGCUAACGACUGCCACUGAUAUAAGAGGGGCCAUACGGCUGACACCUCGUCUUUCUGGCAGGACGCUCAGUGACAUGGAAGGCCGCUCGGGUUCGCCAAAUAGAUUAAACAUUCCACAGAGUAGUGCACCUCUAACUCCGGCUUCACCCUUAACUAUGCCUUAGUUUUUUAGCGCCCCCUGGCUUCCAAAAUUCAAUGGUGAGCGGCGGCGGUUUGCGGAAUGGCGUGCGCAGGUGCAGGCUAUGCUGCGUGCACAACCACUCUCCGACGAACAGCAAGCCGACUUCAUCUUCAGCGCCUUAGAAGGAGAAGCCCGUCGUGAAGUGGCACUAUUGGAUGCAACACAACGCAGCACGGGCAACCACAUCCUUUCCGCCCUAAAUGAACUUUAUGGGGAGACCCUCAAUGCAGCACAAGCAAGAGCAACCUUUUUCAAGUGCCGACAGAACCCUGAGGAGAAGGUGGGGGACUUCAUUCUCCGGCUGAGGGAAUGCCAUGCCAAGUCGGACAGCUUGACCGACAGGCCGCAGGGGAGGAAGACGAGGCACCGCUGGACCAAUUUGUGCUGGGCAUGAAGGCGGAUUUGGUGAGGACAGAACUACGGCUCUAUCUGCGUCGACAGCCUCUCCAAGGUUUCAAGGCAGUGACUGCAGAAGCCCGGGCCCUAGAAGAGCUGGGAAGUAGAACCGAGGAGGUGCAGGCAAGCGCUGCCUGUGUAACAACCAGGAUGGAAGGGAGGGAGGAACCAACCGGACCGACCCACAAACCGACGGAUAACUGGACGGAAGAACUUCCCCGCGAGCUGGAACAAGGACUGUCAGAGCAGGUGAAGGCCCUGGGCUCACAGUUAACGGAGCAGAUGCGAGGACAUGCUGCCUCUAACCGCCGACCAGGGGACGACCCCCGGGGACAACCACGAGAUCGUACGACACCCCCUCCAACCCAGGCAGGCUCUAACCAGGCAAUGAGUUACCAGUGAGACUCGCAAGGUCGACCAAUCUGCUUGGAUUGCAGAGAGACUGGUCAUGUGCGAAGGAAUUGCCCCAAGCGGCAGCGGCCCUCGACGGGUUUUCAGAACCCCCCCACUACAGCGGGCCGGCCGGUUGGGGUGGUGAAGGACAUCUCAGCUUCCUCUCUGGAGGUUAAUGGCCAAAUAAUACCUUGUUUGCUCGACACUGGUUCACAGGUGACCCUGAUGAGCCAGACACUGUUUAGACAGCGCUUGGGAAAUGUGGAGUUGGAAGUGGGAGACGCUGGUUGUCAUUGAAAGCUGCAAAUGGUCUGCAAAUCCCAUAUAUUGGCUAUGCCUUACUAGAUUUUAAGGUGGGUGGUGUUCAGCUGCAUAAUAAAGGAGUGGGCAUGGCCUCCAUCCGGGAGAACCAGCUUUCCAGUCCCAGUUUCAACCUCGAGCAGAGCGGGAGUGGGGGAAAGUAUUUGCUGUCUGUCAACAGCCAGCAUGGGGGCCAGCCCGCCUUUCCAAGGACAUGUAAGACUUCCAAAGUCAGAGACAUUGUGGUUCCUGCAGAAUCGGAACUCUUGGUGUGGGGCCGGACGAGCGAAGAUUCAUCCCCCUCAGGGCGUACCCUAUUGGUUGAACCCUUAUCCCAGCAUGAUGUAGAAUGGUGAGUGGGGAGGGCCUUAGUCACCACGAGGGGGGUUAUGUGCCAAUUCGCCUGUGUAACCCCCACCCUUAUGUCGUCGAUAUUUCUCCCAGAACAGUCCUUGCUGAACUCCACGGGGUGUCAGCAGAAGAUGUCCAAACACAACGGGUGCUUCACCUGCACGGGGCGGAGACCGGGACUGUCGAGGUCGCCAUCCAUAGCAUCGAGGCCCUCCAGCCAGGUGACUUCGCAACAUCCCAAAUGCUAGGUGACAGUUUGACUGCGGAACAACAACAUAGAGUGAAAGACCGGAUGAGCCAGUGGAGUGCUGUGUUUGCGCAGCACGAGGACCCUUAUUCAUCACUGCAGCACUGAGCUCAAACACACACUGAGACCAACUGUGGGCAGUGAAAGGUCCACAGAGGAGGUUGGAGGUGGUAACUGUCUCACCCAACACCACCUGCCGUGCAAGUUCUAAGCACCUUCGUAACAACUGCACGUCUUCAUAUUUCAAAUGAAUCAAACCGUUUUAAGAACUGGAAUUGAACUACAGAUUCAGACGUAACAAAGAAUCCCUCUCAUUCCACAACCCGACUCACCCAACGGAGGCCCAGACGCCACCAUGCUCUUUAGCUCCGCUUGAACCACAGGAGGCGCUGUCUUGAGUUUGGCGGCGGCGUGGUCGAAGAAAAGUUCCACCGUCACCCCGUCCAGCAUGGGAAACAGCGUCUGACUGUGCACUGUUCUGGCCGUUUUCCGACGGUCGUUGCACUUUGUGCAUAUCCUUUUCGACAAAGAAAUCCACCAAAAAAACUCACGUACAAUAGAUUAGGUAAACCAUCAGUUAUGGACAGACACAAGUAAAUACCAAAAAGACUAUGUUUUGUUAUGGGUUGUGUUAGUUAAUGGGAGACACAUGUUCAUAAGUGUUUGCGCUAGAGUUAGAAAAUGGGAAAAAUGAUACAUGAUAGUGUGAGUCCAUAUGUUUGUUGAUCAAGAAAGCACUAGAAUGCAGACCACUUACAUUUUGAAUAAUACUGGGACAUAUGUGAAACAUAUAGUAUGUAUUGCAUGUGGGUGGGUGUGUUGGGUUAUGCGGUAGAUAUAAGGUUUUCAUUCCAGGAUACGUAGCCGCGUGAAUAGUGGACUAGCACUUCAGAUAUCGCCUGGCCAGUGAUGUCUGCUGCUAACACGAGACAUAAGAGGGAGAUGAAUGUUAUGUGAAUGACUGUUGUUGUACAGAGAGUGUCCUGAAUGACUCCCGUAGAACCUACUGUCAUAACGCGUGUUAAGAACACAAGUACUCUUUGUGAAUCUGUAAUGUCGGGUCAACAUUCAUUUUGGAGGGGAGAGUGUGGGGUCCCCAGGAUGGAUAUGCUAUAGUAAAGGGACACCCCCCUAUAUUCCAUUAUUUAUGUAUUGGAUUUUCUAAUUAUUUGUUGAUUUAAACUUACUUUGGUUCUUUUGCAAAGCAUUAGUAUUUAUAUGUGUUGGUAAGGGAACAGGCACUAAGGUGACCUAAGGGGUCCUUGUUUCGGGAGACAACGGGGAGAUGUUUUCGCGCGCUUGGAAAAAAGUAAGGAAAAGAGAAAGAAGAAGAUAGAGCGGAAAAAGAGUGUACCUGUAACUUGGCGCUGAUGCGCACUUCUUACCUGUUUUCACGGAGGAAUAAAGAUUUUCUUAAAACUAACGCACGCCUGGGUGUCACGAAUGUCCAUGUGUGCUACAAAUACACACUCAUGUAAAACUCAGAAACAGCAAAGAACUAGUGAAACAUAAUCAGUGAUUAUGAAAAAAAUAGAAUAGAUAUCAACAAGCAGUUUCUUUCAUAGAAUAGUUGAGACUUGUGUCAACAUUUGAAAGUUGAAAUGGUGUCUGUAGCUGAAAGAUUGGCGAAGCUGAAGAAUCUGAAAGUUAAAGAAGUUUAAGAGGAUUUGAAAAACGAUCUCCAUUGGAAAACAUGUUAAAAUAUUAAUGAUUAUUGAUUUAUAUAAAUUCAAGCUUAAGAGGUAGAAAGCUGAAAAGUCAUAGCACCCCUCCCGGGAAAGAGCUGAAUAUUUUAACAUUUGAACGGUUUUAAUAGCUGAAAGUGUGAAGGAGUUGAAAGGUGGCGCAGAAGAAAUAGAAUAAGUUAAAUAAAGAUUUGAAGAACAAUACUUGGAAUGCUUAAUGCAUUCCAACAAUUACAAGUGUAUCAAGCUGCUGGAAAGGAGGGGUUUCAGCCGAGUGGGAAGCGGUCGGGAUGAGGAUCACCACCUCUAAGUCUCAGGCUAUGGUUCUAGGACCCACAGGAUUAUGUGUCCAACCAGCUACAUCAGCACAUGUGUGGAGAACAUUGUGCCUACAAAGCGCUGAAAGACGUAACCGAACCAAAAACCCUGACUUAACUGUGAAGUUUGAUCGGCCCACGCUACGUGCCGGCUCCACAGUAUUUGUCACGAACACCACCACAAAUUCCAGCCAACUUUCUCAGAGAUUCACGAUUUGUACUUAUAUAUUAUAUACUCAAUUAAUGUCUUUCGACCCAAAAACAAACCUUGGAAAAAAAAAAUUCUGUAACAGUGUAAUGCAAAUUCAAACUAGUAGGGGCAGCGAAGAAAAGUAGUUAAAAUAUUUUUAAGCAGGACCACGUAGGCAGACCGAACAAACUGGUUGAGAACGGGGAAGACAGACCGCAGGAGCUUGUUGAGUAGACGGGUCUCAGCUAUGCAGAUUGUAAGAGCCAUAUUGAGCUGUAUUUUAUUUUUCUUUCUUGUGAAUAGUAUCGAGUGUGUGUGUGUGACGAGUGAGUGAGUAAUAUGGCACAGGGCUGUAUACCCCACCGAGAGGGUUGGGAUGCUGAAAUUGGAGCCCAAGGAAAGGCUUUAAAAGACAGGAAGACACGGCAGUGGGUGUGGCCUGAGAGGAAAACAGUCUUACCAUGUGGUGGAGUGACAUGAGGAACCAUAUCCCACCGUAUAAGAAACUGCUUUAGUUUAAUUGUUUAUUAUUUUUACCUCAUGUUUUUGGUUUGUAAAUUCUUCAUAUCAAGAGCAAUAAAUGGUCAUUGCACCGAACCGGGUCACCUUCUACUCCUCAUCUUUACAUACUGCACGCGUCAGGAUAUAUCCAGCUGAGCCAACGUUAGUAGCUGAUCAGGGAGUAAAGGGACGAAAGAAAAAGGCUUCUACACAGAUUGAUCAGGAAGUGUGAAUGGAGUGACACACCAGAUAAACCUCUUUCGGUUAACCUAUGUACGUGUUUAAGUGGUUGUUAAAAAAUCUUAAUGAUCUAAUUUACAGAAGUUCAAUACAGUUGAUCAAAGACAAUGGAAUCCAUGAGUACAAUGCCAAUGACAUGCACUUAAAAUGAAAUGAAUAGUUCAUCACAAAAUUCUCCUGGUAGUAUCAAUAGUAAAAGCAUGUGUAUUCAUUUUAAUGAUAAAUUGCUUAAUUGACCUUUUAUAGUGGACUUCGGGGUCUUUUCAUUUUCCUCUGUGCCAUUUAGAGUUUACAGUGUUACAGGAAGGCUGGCGAGUGGCAUUUACAGACAUGAUGGUAUUUCAUGGAUCAGAUAAUUAAUGUCACGACUUCUAACUGUAACAGGAUGACACAGAGGAUGGUGAAUAAAUGGCAGCGCAGCAGUUCCAAAGGCAGAGGGUGUCUUUGGAGACAUUUUAAUCAGUCCAUCAAAGAAACAAAAAAAAACACUCCGGUCAUUCCAGCAGUCAGCAAAAACCUAGACACAACACACUGUCUUCCCCCGCUACUCCCUUCAUCCUUCUUAAGUAGCCCCUUGACGACAUGAGGUCCAGGUGUGUCUCCUGGCACACCUGAUCUUGAUGAGCUUCUGACGCUCGUUUAGGUGGCCUGCCUUCCGGAUAUAUCUCCCCUCCACCACUCUGCCCCUCAGCUCUUCAGCUGAACUAGAACUGCUGUGCGUGUACAUUUGGGUCCACUGACUACACCACCACCAAAAACCCCAGACAAAUGCAGAGUCGUUAAUAGAGAACCAGUGUUGGAGCAUCUCUGGGUACACACUUUUGGCAUCUCUGACAGCUUUACCUAACCUGUGUUCUGACUGUUCAUACAAGUACCUGUGCCCACUCCUAAACGCCUGAUCCUUAAGCAACUGUAGCUAUCGGAGUCCAGCUGUAAAACAGGGUUUGUCAUUGCUGUAACUCAACUUGGUGGAUGCUGUCUUCACAGAAGCUGAUGUAUUCAUUCAUCCACAUACUCAUCCAGACUGCUGGCAGCAGUCCUGAAAAUAUCCAAAUCCCUACAGUCCAGACCCGCCUGAAGGUGCUUCACUGCGUGAAUACUUCUGGGAGCAUGAGGUGAUUUCUUAACCCCACAGAUUGUGCAACUCUUCCAGGGGCACAUCAACAGGAGUCGUUGCAGAUUGGAUGUGUUUCCCAGCAAAAUCUCCAAAACAUGGAAAUUCCAGGAGACAUGCAGUUACUCUGCGAGAGCUGGACAGGACCGUAGAAGAACUGUAGUGUGACUCACUGCCCAGCACGGUGGAGCUUGAUUGGCCUUUGCUUGGCAUGUCCGCCACUGGCGCCCAGUGCUUUUUACAGAUGUGAGCAGGUUCACCCUGAGCAUCUUUCAUAGGGAGAAGCCAAGAACACUAUGGCGCCUGCCUAUUUCCAUCAAAAGAGGUGGCAUUCUUUCGUUCCUCAGACAUUGAACCGUCUAUAUUAGUAUAGGUAUCCAAAAUACUUAUCGAUCUGAUGUGUGUGUGUGUGUGUGUGUGUUCCUAAAUUUGGGUAGCGGCUAAGUUAUGAUAGUGGGUCCUGCAGCCAGACAAGUUGAGAAACACUGCUUUGGAAAAUUAACAUUGGCUGCGAAAAAGCAGUUACCUUUCUUCUCCAUUUUUUUUCUCUCUAUCGUUUUGUUUUAAUGAUCAUUAGGACAAAUGAAUGCAAAUAUCCUAGCGUGGACAUAUUAUGUCGUUUGAGACUCCUUGUCUAAAACCAAUCAACCAUCGGAGAGAGAAAUUGUGGGCUGUCAGUAUGUUUGUGUGUAUUUUUUUAAGUUCUUGUAGGCAUAUUGCUGUGCUGGUUAUGUGUGUCAGUGUGAGAUAGGUGAGUGUGUUUGAAUAAUAACUGUGUUUUUCUCCUGAGGGGCUCCACCAAGCCGGAAAAAAAUAAAAAUAAAAUAUUAAUGUUCAAUCACUGCGUUGGGACCACUGACACACGCGCCCCACACACACCAGACACGCUGGAAAAUCACCAGAACAAUACCAGGCAGACUCUGUAUUGUUGCAGUGUAUUUGCGAGAGCCCCCCUGACGAUACGCCCCUUACUAAGCAGCUGUAAGCAGAUGCUGCUAGCCUGAAUGUAAGAGAAGCAGGCUUGUGAGUGAAUCCAAUUCUACGCUGUCCUUAAGCUAGGCAGUGCGAGUGAUUUACUGGUUAUUAGUCUGAGGUAGUUUUAGAGAUCAUUUUUUGGUCUCUGAAGCACCCGUAAUAUUUCUUUGGUUGAGUGUUGUGUGUGGGUGUGUGUGUAAUAUUCCUGUGCAACAUGUCAACUCGCAAUGCACCUUUUUAAUCAGCCUUUCUUUCCUACUCUACGACUACGUGGAGUACGGAAUGACCGUCGGGCCGAGAUCUGGCAGGUCACUUUGAACAUAUCAACACAGAAGAACCCAACAGUUUUAUCUAUUGACAAUUACAACGCAAUUAUUGUACAGACCAGACAACAUGUAUCCUUACCAAUGUUGAAACAAAAAGAAAAGAAAGAGAGAAGAAAAGAAAUAUGAACCUGGAAAUUCCAGUUUCAAAGUGUCUUUUCAGUUUAAGAUACUUCAACAACAAGCAACAAAAUUUAACUAAACCGCUUUGUGGAUAAUCAUGGUCUCCAUGGUAUGAAUGACUCUCCUUUCAAUUAUUCAACUAGCAAACAUCAUAUAUAAUCUAAUGGCACACAUUUAGGCCCUCUUCAUGAAUUUAAUUUGGAAAAGAUGAAAUGUAUAAUACACAUGGUAUCACACAAUCUAAUAACGAAACAAUGUCUUUGAAACAUGUUAUGUUUUUUAAAUUUGGUUGAACUCACGUAUCUAACAAUUUAGUAAUUAUUUACACUUCUCAGUCAAACUAGUUCCAUCUUAUUAUCAGCAUUAUGGAUGAUAAUGAUAAUCACCAUCAUCAACAUAAUUGUUCAUUCCUAUAAUUGCAAACCCAAGGCUCCUAAGCAAGCAAGCAAGCAAGCAUGCACGCACAGACACACGCGCACACACACACAGACAAAGAUAUAUACAGUGAAAAAGUGAAAGGAGCUCAUCUAUUAUUACCCCUUGCUGGCUGUCCCCUUUGGGGAAUGGACCAGUCCCUUGUUACCAACUGACAUCUCUCCCAUGGGUUUCUAAUGGUACACACACACACACGCACACACACAGACACUCACCUGUUUCCCAAGUCAAUUCCCAGGGAGCUGUCAGACUAUCCGUCGACAAAGACCAAUACCACCUGAAUGUGUGUGUGCAUGGAUAGGUGCGUGUGUGUCUAAAUGUUGUCUAAAUAUGACACAGAACUAGUUGGGACAUUUCUUGAUCCCUCGGACACAUUCUUGGGGUCAGUGGACAGUUAUUUUUUUGGAAAAUAUAUAAAAAGAAUUUAUAGAAAGAUUUUUUUAUUGUCCUUUGGCCUGCUGCUAGUGUGAUUGGCAGAAGUCCUCCGGGGCAGAGAAAAUAGUCACACCAAACAUGAGUUUAGGUCUUAUGUGUGUGUCUAUGAUCGACACAUUUCCGCAAGGCAUUAUUGACAUGGAUAUUGUUAUAAUGUUAUAAUUAUGCAUGAAUAUGACAAAAAGAAAAUGAAUGUUUUGGGCGUUAUGCCCAAUAUAGUGCAUUAAGUUAAUUUGUUUUCACCAAAUUCACC
ensembl:lncRNA